CAGUAGCCGCGGGAAUACGUAGGUGGCGAGCGUUGUCCGGAAUCAUUGGGCGUAAAGGGAGCGCAGGCGGGCAUGUAAGUCUUUCUUAAAAGUUCGGGGCUCAACCCCGUGACGGGAGAGAAACUACAUGUCUUGAGUACAGGAGAGGAAAGCGGAAUUCCCAGUGUAGCGGUGAAAUGCGUAGAUAUUGGGAGGAACACCAGUGGCGAAGGCGGCUUUCUGGACUGCAACUGACGCUGAGGCUCGAAAGCCAGGGGAGCGAACGGGAUUAGAUACCCCCGUAGUCCCUGUCUCUUAUACA
rnacentral:rRNA from 1 species